UUCCUACGGGGGGCAGCAGUGAGGAAUAUUGGUCAAUGGGCGGGAGCCUGAACCAGCCAAGUCGCGUGAGGGAAGACGGUCCUAUGGAUUGUAAACCUCUUUAGGCGGGGAGCAAUGCCGGGCACGUGUGCCCGGAGGGAGAGUACCCGCAGAAUAAGCAUCGGCUAACUCCGUGCCAGCAGCCGCGGUAAUACGGAGGAUGCGAGCGUUAUCCGGAUUUAUUGGGUUUAAAGGGUGCGUAGGCGGAAGGUUAAGUCAGCGGUCAAAUGUCGGUGCUCAACACCGGCCUGCCGUUGAAACUGGUC
rnacentral:rRNA from 1 species